CUAUUUUCUAUCAAUGCUCCACUCUAGGAAUUUGAGAUGAUGUGCAAAGAGUGAUACACUCUAGGAAUGGUCCAUGUGUCGUACACCUGAGGAGCAUCCGCGGACGUCUUCUCGGAUGGCGUAGGUAUGGGCAUGUAGCGGGAGCCUCGUGGAGAUCAAGAUGAGGGCGGGCGAGCGAGGACCAUGCCGCCGUUGGAGGUGAGACAGACAUCUCUCUGAAUAUUUUUGUGGUGCGGUGCAUGCGGCUCUGUUCUCUGAAUUUUUUUGUGGUGCGAUUCAUGCAGCUCAGAUUGGUAGGAGUACUUGGCAAUAUUUGGAGUUGGAAUAUACUUGGAGUAAUCUGGAGCAGUAAUAUGGAUCUUGUUUCAAUAUAUUUCCAUAAAUAUUUGAAGCAAGAGUACAUCAAGAGUA